GAAGGAAUGGCGGAAUUGGCAGACGCGGUAAAGCUUGGCAUUCCCGGUUCGAGUCCGGGUUCCUUCACAA
rnacentral:tRNA from 1 species